rnacentral:rRNA from 1 species
GAUGAACGCUAGCUACAGGCUUAACACAUGCAAGUCGAGGGGAAACGACAUCGAAAGCUUGCUUUUGAUGUGCGUCGACCGGCGCACGGGUGAGUAACGCGUAUCCAACCUGCCCAUCACUUGGGAAUAACCUUGCGAAAGUAAGACUAAUACCCAAUGACAUCCCACGAAGACAUCUGAAUGGGAUUAAAGAUUUAUCGGUGAUGGAUGGGGAUGCGUCUGAUUAGCUUGUUGGCGGGGUAACGGCCCACCAAGGCAACGAUCAGUAGGGGUUCUGAGAGGAAGGUCCCCCACAUUGGAACUGAGACACGGUCCAAACUCCUACGGGAGGCAGCAGUGAGGAAUAUUGGUCAAUGGGCGAGAGCCUGAACCAGCCAAGUAGCGUGCAGGAUGACGGCCCUAUGGGUUGUAAACUGCUUUUAUAAGGGAAUAAAGUGGGUCUCGUGAGACUUUUUGCAUGUACCUUAUGAAUAAGGACCGGCUAAUUCCGUG